rnacentral:rRNA from 1 species
UUUAUCUGACAGGUAGCUCUCUGCAACUCUCACAUGGUCAGCCACUGAAACCAAGCAGAGUUGCGCCUGGUCAGUACCUGGAUGGGAGAUGCAUGGGAAAGCUAGGUUGCUGCUGAAG